GAUGAACGCUGGCGGCGUGCCUAAUACAUGCAAGUCGAGCGAACAGACGAGGAGCUUGCUCCUCUGACGUUAGCGGCGGACGGGUGAGUAACACGUGGAUAACCUACCUAUAAGACUGGGAUAACUUCGGGAAACCGGAGCUAAUACCGGAUAAUAUAUUGAACCGCAUGGUUCAAUAGUGAAAGACGGUUUUGCUGUCACUUAUAGAUGGAUCCGCGCCGCAUUAGCUAGUUGGUAAGGUAACGGCUUACCAAGGCAACGAUGCGUAGCCGACCUGAGAGGGUGAUAGGACACACUGGAACUGAGACACGGUCCAGACUCCUACGGGAGGCAGCAGUAGGGAAUCUUCCGAAAUGGGCGAAAGCCUGACGGAGCAACGCCGCGUGAGUGAUGAAGGUCUUCGGAUCGUAAAACUCUGUUAUUAGGGAAGAACAAAUGUGUAAGUAACUAUGCACGUCUUGACGGUACCUAAUCAGAAAGCCACGGCUAACUACGUG
rnacentral:rRNA from 1 species